rnacentral:piRNA from 1 species
UGCACAGCUCAGAACAGCUCCCUACAUCUC